AGAUGAGGUAGAGGUUGCGAAUGUGAUUAGUAAACGUGCCGAGGUGAAGAGUCACCUAUGACGCACGCUUGAAAGGCAUUUUCGCCGAAGUGGACGGCUGUGCUCUUACACCGUCUGCUGGGUCCGAUCCCGAAAGGGACGGAACUGUCACGGGAGCCAAUCCUUACGCUUCCCGUGUUGUGCUAUCUUAAUG
rnacentral:ncRNA from 2 species